rnacentral:lncRNA from 1 species
AUGAUUGGACCUACAACAUUGCAAAUCUAAGAUACAUACUUUUCAAAUUUUUCGCCAUGGAUAUAUAAAUGGUCUGAGUUAUGUUUUUGUUUAAUUCCAGGAAACAUUAGCUCUGCAAAAAUCAGUGCAAGAAAGGAGGAAACAAACUUCUGCCUCUAAUAAAUUCGAAAAAUUACAAGCUUGGAUUACAAACGAGCUAGAUAUCAUCACUGGCAUUUUGCAGACGGAAAAAACCCUGGAGCAAUUAGUAGAAGACAAGGCGUCUACUGAGAAACUCUUGGAUAUGCUUAAAGUUACGCUGAAUGACUCUAACAUGUCGAAAGAAGAUCGUCAUAACAUUUUGGUUGCAAUCCAACGAAAUGAAGAAGAACAUGAGCUCCGUACUGCUCAGAUAACAGAUCUGAAGCAAAAAGUUGCUGAAUCCAAUCAGGAUAUCAAGAUCAAAGCCAAGUUCGACUCUGUAUCAUCCUUGUUCGAUGCUAAAGCGUCUUUGAAGCAUUUGUUUGAUAUUUGUGUAGAACUUAAAAAGGACAUAAUAAGCAAGGAUUUCCAAUUGCAAGAACUGCGAGUAAGUAAAAUGUCAUUACCUCUCUCAACUUUCGAAUAAUCUAUAGUUGUAUUGCAUUACAUUACUUUACAGCACAAUAUGGUGUCCCAACAGGUUUUUAAUUUGAAACUGUAAACAAGUAAACCUAUAUAACGUAAUUUACACAGUCAUCUUUUAACUCCGGCGUUAAAGAAACUGAAGCUCUGAGUAAUAUUCUUUUAGGCUGAUAUAUGUUUCAAGUCUUAUUUCGACUGAUAUCAGUGUUUUUAAUUUCAUAUUGUAAGACAUUGUGGAUUAUUUGGGUCAUUUUAAGCUCUUGAUUCAAAGAGUUGCCUUUAUUUGGCACAAUUAUUUUUUUAUUCAUCCUAUUUCGUUACACUAUUAUGAAUACAGGGCUCCUGGCGGUAUGAAAAACAGAGAAAAUCAGGGGAUUCAGGAGAAAAGUUAGGAAAUCUCUGACACAUCUACUUUUUUUGUUUAUUUCUCCCUGAAAUUUACAUCAAUACAAGAGACUCUUCACCAUGAAAAUAGAGGUGUAGAGGGAUUACACUAAGAAGACAAUAUAGUACUGUAAGCAGGAAAAAAAGGAGGUUAUUCGAGAGAAAACAACGACCUAAUAAAGAUUAGGCCAGGAAGGAUCGAGGUUGGUGACUCUGGAAUUUGCCUGUUGGCAUCCAUCAGAUUGACGCAUCUACUAAUCACUUAUAAAACGUUCAGAAGACCCUCGGGAAAAGUCAGGAAAUCUCUGACACUUCUAUAAAUCUGAUCUUUCAACUGUUUACUCUCUCUGGUCAUUUUUAAGGCUUGUCAUCUUUUAACCAGCUGUUGAAUGCCUUUUUCCAUAGUUUGAUCCCAAACAAGGAAAUUCCUAAGUUAAGCGAAAGUCAGCAUUUUUGAAAAGGAAAAGGUGGAAAUUUUGUUCAAAGGUCAAGGAAAGACAGAGAAUUGGACAAUUUUGGAGUCAAGGAAGAGCAAAAUAGGGAAUCAGAAGGAGAAAAAAUUAAAGCAGCCCUUCAUUGCUACUAAUCUACCCACAAAAUUCUCUAUCCUCUCUGAUUACAACAAGCUAUGCAAAUAAAAAUUGUUAGCGUGUGGUUCAGUGGCGUGGCAUGCUUUGCAAUAAAUCGAUUGAUCUGUCAUUUAAACCUAUGGAAAAAGAUUGAUAAAGAGGGUGUUCGCAACAAACACCUUGAUAAUUGAUUCUUUACUAUAGCUUCAAAGGGGGAAAUACUGAUAAUCGAUCAUUCACGCUUCGCCACUGGUAAGUUCACAACUCCUACAGAGAAUGAUUUUGUUGUUUCAGGACUCAAUAGUGGAAUACCAGAAUAAAUCGAGACUUUGGAAAAGGAACUGACGGAAGUGGACACCAAUACAGAGGCUCAGAAAACUGCCCUAGAAAAAGAAUACGCAGAAAAGGUAUUUCCUAUUUUAAAUUAAGAUAAAUAAAUUAAUCAUCCCUGUGGAUGUGUCCUUUGGGUAAGAGACCCCAAAAGUUGGUUUGAAGGU